rnacentral:rRNA from 1 species
CUGCCUUGCACGCAGGAGGUCAGCGGUUCGAUCCCGCUAAGCUCCACCAACGUGUUCUUUGAAAACUAGAUAACGAUAAGUAAGACAUCACAUUCAAAAGUAAGACCAAGAAUAACUGUAGUGAUUCUUUUUUAACGGUUAAGUUAGAAAGGGCGCACGGUGGAUGCCUUGGCACUAGGAGCCGAUGAAGGACGGGACUAACCCCGAAAUAUACA